rnacentral:RNase_P_RNA from 1 species
GGUAGAGAGAGCCUGGCUGCCGCGGCACGCCUUCGGGCGUGUACCCGCGUCGGGAUUACCCGGCGCGUUCGCGAGGAAAGUCCCCCCACCGUCUGGGCAGGUGACCGGGCGCAAGCCCGGAGCGGGAGACCGCUGGCUCUGGAACAGAAACGAGACCCCUCUCCCCGAGCGAUGACGUGUGCGAACCGACCCGAGAGGCAAGGGAGUUAACCCACAGAGCGUCGACGGGAGAGAACGGAUGGAACGGCGAAUCUUCACCGGUGCAAGUCCACGCCAAAGGUAGCCCGGACGAAUGGUGAUGGACGCUUAGCCGAAUGCCGGGCCGAACAGAAGGGGGCUUACUCCUCUCUGCC